rnacentral:rRNA from 1 species
GACGAGGGGUCCUAGCGUUGUUCGGAAUCAUUGGGCGUAAAGCGCAUGUAGGUGGCUAUGUAAGUCAGGUGUGAAAUCCCUGGGCUCAACCCAGGACGUGCAUUUGAUACUGCAUAGCUUGAAUAUGGGAGAGGGUAGUGGAAUUCCUGGUGUAGUGGUGGAAUGCGUAGAGAUCCGGAGGAAGACCGGUGGCGAAGGCGGCCUGCUGGGCAGUUACUGACACUGAGGCGCGACAGCGUGGGGAGCAAACAGG